UUCUUGACCUUGUAAGACCCC
rnacentral:siRNA from 1 species